rnacentral:lncRNA from 1 species
GAGGAAGAUGGAAAAAUACUACCAUGAAAAAUAUAAAAGUAAAUAAAGGUUAAAAGUUAAAGAAGCCAAGCUCCCAGCCACAGGAGGCUCCCGGACCCCUGUAAAUUCCAUAAGAACAUGCUGAUGUCAGCCUGCUGGAAGAUAAGUCACACAGAGGAGAGCACAGACAUCCCAACCAAAGUCACCAUCGAUCAGCACACUACCAGCCAGCGGUCAAGCCACCAUUCCCAGUGAUCCUGUGGUUAGAACAAGGAAGAUCCACUCUACUUCAAGACUCUUGAAAACACACCCGCUUUUCCUGAAUUUUCUAAUCUACUCUCUACAGAGAUAAAUUCUGUAAGUCCUGUUAAUAAAAAUACUAUAUUACUUGUUUGUUAAU